rnacentral:rRNA from 1 species
UAGGGAAUCUUCCACAAUGGGCGAAAGCCUGAUGGAGCAACGCCGCGUGUGUGAUGAAGGGUUUCGGCUCGUAAAACACUGUUGUAAGAGAAGAAUGACAUUGAGAGUUAACUGUUCAAUGUGUGACGGUAUCUUACCAGAAAGGAACGGCUAAAUACGUGCCAA